rnacentral:lncRNA from 1 species
UAUAAUUUCGUUUCUGUUGUUACUUGUGUAACCUGAACCGAGGUUAGUAUCCUAUUUGCAUAUGUGUGUUUUGUGUGUUCUGUAGUCCCUGUAUUAGUUACGUACCUGUGAUAUAUAAAUGUGUGUGUGCGUGUGUGUGUGUGUGUGUGUGUGUAAUUCAUCAAAAUAUAUUGUUGUGUGAUGAUGAUAUAUGUUCAGUCUAGAGACACGUUGUUUUUCUUGCUUUGUAGAUCGAUGUGAACUAGUACUCUUGUGUGUUUCUGUUGUCACUAGUUAAAUUGAUCACCUAUGUACUACUUGUUGUAGAAACUUGUUACAUUAGUCCUUGUGCUAGCUAUGCACCUGUGAUAAAUAUGUGUGUGAUGUGAAACAUUUCUGUUCUGUCCUAUAAUAUUGUUUCCUCCCUCUUUUGCUUGUCAUUAUGCUAUAUGUGUUCAUGUCCUAAUGUUUCCCUUUAUGUUAGUUUCUAAUUUCUCAUGCCUAAUAAAAAUACCAAAAGAGAGCAAGUAAGAUCUGAUCCUCCCUUUGCUAUUUUGCCUUUUCUUUGUGGAUCAUCUUCGGGAGCAACCUUGUUUAGUUUAGGUUUAUUUUCUUGCAGCCAUAAUCUCAAUUGUGUUACCUAGAUUUAGCUGAGCAUAGUCGCCGUCGCCUAGUCCCUGAGGGGAACACGACACUCGCGAUUUGGGCGAAAUAUCCCACCGCAUUUACAAACGAUCAUUUUGGCGCCGUUGCCGGGGACUAGCAUCGAGUGACAGUGUUAGGCUAUAGACUAGGUUUUUCUUGUUUUCAUUUUGUGCCAUAUAUUUGUGAUAUAUCUCUAGCCACUAACCCCUGUUCUAGGUAGUAUCUUUUUGUCUUCUUUUCCUUUUUUGCAGGUUGGAUUAUCCUCUCGGAAAUGGCAUUCUAUUCGGAUCAUCAGGCUUAUGCGAGCAACACUACAAACAACAUGAAAAGAAUUCAAGAACUGAUAAGUAAGAUUUCCCAUCGAUUAGAUGAUUUAGCUCGGCAGCGAGAAGUAGUUUUUGUGGAUAGUCCUAGCUCUUAUGAUCCUUAUUCUGGAGGCCAUCCUUAUGUUGCUCCUACUUGCCAUAUUUGUGGAUUUCAGGGCCAUUCGCUCGCUGAAUGUCAGCGUGGUUACUCUCGCCCUCCAGAUUGUUUUGGCAUGAGCUUUGCUCAAGAGCAUAGCUCAUACCAAAACAAUUACUCACAUGGGUGGCCUGAGAACCCGAAUAUGUCAUUUAGGAGCAACAACCCUGAGAUCUUAUCAUUUGCCUCUAGUAAUCCAAUGCAGGGAUUUAGGUAUGAAGAGGAGAGCCACAACUAUGCUCCACAACAGUUUUAUUCACCUCCUACUCAUAUACCGCAGCACCAGGAGAUGUGUCCAAUGGAGUUAAAUGGUCCUCCGUUUGGUCAACCAACAACUUCAGCACCUAAUGAGUCGGUAGAGCAAUCUCAUGUGCAGGGAUUUAGGUAUGAAGAGGAGAGCCACAACUAUGCUCCACAACAGUUUUAUUCACCUCCUACUCAUAUACCGCAGCACCAGGAGAUGUGUCCAAUGGAGUUAAAUGGUCCUCCAUUUGGUCAACCAACAACUUCAGCACCUAAUGAGUCGGUAGAGCAAUCUCAUGUGCAAGUGCCCACACAAGAUGAGUUCGAUGACAUAGACAAACUCACACUUUUGAGUCUCGAGUUCACUUGGAGUGCCGAGGAUGAUCCUAUUAGGAAGGUUAUACUAGAGGAAAUGAAGAGGAUCAAGAGUGGAAAAGAGCUAGUGGAAGAAGUAAGGAAGAUUGAGAAGAGCAUCAAUGCUGGCAGCACUAUUUCUUCACAACUAGAGCUGAGUAUUUCUGGGAUAUCCUUUGAUACAUGUGAGGCUCCAACACCGUCACAUCCAGCUGAGCAAGAUAGAAAAAGUCCAGAGGAAGAGAGACCUUAGAUUGAAGUUGAACUCAAGGAACAAGAUGAUCAAGAGCUACAAUUUCCAAGUGAUCAAGUUGAAGACUCAUCAUCUACUACUCCUAAAGAAGUACAAGAAGCUGUUGUAGAUGAAGAUGAAGAACCUGAGAUUCAUUGGCCUAUUGUCAUACAUGAACCUGAUAUGUCAGGUUUACCCAAUCCUCUUGAUGACAUGCUGCCUUGUGAUUUCUUUGCUUCUAACUUGCAUUGCAUGAUGCCAUCACUUAAGGUAGAUUUGAAAAACUAUUUGCUUGGACAUGAUCAUACACACCCUGUUAGUGGCAUUGCUCAUAUCUCUGUUCAUGAUACUUAUGUUCCUGAUGCUAUACACAUGCUUAAUGAAACGUGUGAUUCUAAUACUAGCAUUGAGCUUACUGAAUUGUACCAUCCUAAACAUGUGCUUUAUAGCUAUGCUUAUGUAAUUGGGUACUCUAUUGAUGAUUUAGAGGGCAUUACCCUUGUCACUUGUAUCGCCUCCUUGGUUGAGUGCUCUUUCAGCUUGUUGCUUGUGCACGAUCCACUACAUGCUGGCCAAGUUCGAGAUGACAUUCCUUGGGACCCCGGUGGACCCAUGGCAUGGGGAUGAGGAGAAGCAAGGAGCACACAUGAAGAGAGAAGCUGUGCCGGCAUGAGGAUAGGGAAGCAAAAGGAGAGGAGUCACAAUGCAAGAGGAUGUGAGAUGAUCGAGCGAGUGCUACAUCAAAGCCCGGUGAGCUGUUUCAUGACCCAUUCCGAGUAUAUCAUCCAUUGAUGCUUGCUGAAUUAAAUUGCUAUUUGGGUUGCUUGUGCCAUUUCUUAAAUGUUGUCCCACAGAUUUUUCACCUUUGACAUAUGGUGCUUGAUGAGAAUAUGUGAACUGAUUGUUGAAUGCCUUGUAAACUAGUGAUCUACAUCCUGUUUGCUUUGCUGAAAGUAGUGAAAGCUAUUAGUUUUGAGUGCUCAAAUCCCUAGUGCACUAGUAAACUUAAUCAUUUUCUGCUUUUACCUUGAUACACCUAAAUCAUUAAGUGUCGGAUGCUGAGUUUGUGCCUAAUGUGUUCCCAUUGAGAGCAAUCACUUACCAUUAUGGAUUAGCAUGCUAUGUUCUCUGGAUCAGUAGCAUGUGAAGUAGACAUGGAUGAGUGAUGAUUCUUGAUUUUGUUCAUUUAAAAAAUGAAAAAUAUAUAUCUUAUAAUGAAUAAAUAAGUCUGACUACCUACAGUAGCAUGUCAUGUUCCCUAGAUCGGUGGCAUGUGGAAUCGGGUUAGCUUGGGCAGUAAUUAAUAAUAAAAAUGUAAUUGUCGAACCAGGUGUAUACCAUAUUCUUGGGAUCGGUGGUAUGUUCCUUUGGGGAGACAAACAAAAAAAACUAAUAAUUGGUCGAGCCGGGUGUAUACCAUGUUCUCGGGAUCGGUGGUAUGUUCCUUUGGUGAGAUCAAUAAAAUAUUAUCAUUACUUUCUUCAAAUUCAAUAAGUGCUUUCAACUGCAAUGUUGUGUUCCUGGUAAUAAGUGAUCUGAUCUCAAGUUUAAGUUUUUUUUGUUUUUGGGAUCAGGCUCUCUUUAGGAACCUUUUGGCACAAUCAGCAUUUGAACUUACUAAUCUUCUUUUAUCAUUGUAAAAGUUUAAAAUGGCCAAGUCUACUAGUAUCCUACUGCUUUGUAGCACUCUAACCAUUAAUUUUCACUAACUAAGUCUGAAGCAUGCACUGUUUAGAGAUCUACUUCACUGGGACAUUCUCCAGUCAGCUCACUGUUCAUUAUCUAGCUCUUGUCAUAUUCCUUUACUUGAGGACAAGCAAAAGUUUAAGUGUGGGGGAACUUGAUAAGCACAUUUCUUAUAUAGAAUUUUGGAACACAAAUUCAUCAUUUAUUGAGAUAUAUUGUCGGUGACGGUUGCAGGGGCGCGGGGUUGCGAGAAGAGCAGGGCUAGUAGACAGCACAAAGAUCGUUUAUCCAGGUUCGGGCCGCGAGGAUGCGUAAAACCCUAGUCCUGGUUUGGUGGGUGUAUUUCAGAGAGUUCUUGAGCUCUCGGACUAGAUGUGGUCAGUGCAUGGUUCAAAAGAGCCGAAUCCUUCUCCAGUAUGUCAUGGGCCUCCUUUUAUAGUCGGAAGGGGCUGCCACAGUGGCACACAGGAGGUGGAAAGGCGUACAGUGCCCUGAGCUUAUCGCUCGUAUUACAGGUGAUAGAGGCGAGGGUGUCCCGAUCUUUCGAUGAGAUGAUAACUAUCGAUUAGGUGGAGUCGACUUUGACGAUCCGACUACAAACGUGCACGACGUUGCGCCUUAGCAAUCGCUAAACCAACUUCGAGAGGUUAUUGACCUCGCCGGAGCACGAUCAACCUGACCACGAAGGUCUAUUCCUGCAUGCAAUCAAAGAACAAGCAAGAAUAUGAUAAUGCAAUCUGAAUAUUGCGAAUAUAGAUGAAGUAUUGAUAAAGAUAGGGAUCCAUAAGCGGUCUUGGUCUGGUCGUUGGACACAAACGAAGUACACGAAGUUGCAAUGGCUAACUUUUAACUAAACAAAUCCCAAGCAAAAAGCUACUAGAUGGAUCUACUUAUAUAGGAGCAAGGGGUGGAGGCCAAAAAGGUGGGAGGACGUCCCAAGGCAGCCUAAAACCAACCCUAGGUCGUACAAGGCUCAUGGGCCCAAGUGGAGGUGAUGCAACACCUUUGGACUUGUUUUUGACUCGGAUUUUGCUGCAGCGUCAGAUUGUUUCGUCCAUAUCUCAAUGCUCCGGACGAAUUUAAAGGUGAAUCCAAUUGGGUUGGAAAGAGGACGAAAUUUACUUUCCAACAAAAAAAGAAUCACCCAAUUCGGAGUCCGUAUGAAAAAGUUGUUGGCGUUUUGAGUCAGGUAUGUCUGUGCAGUCCGAAUCUGAAUCCAGAACGUGAGAGACUUGGACUCUAUCUUCUCUUGGCCCAAAAGUGACGUGAGAGGACUUUUUGAAUAGAACCUAAACUUCUCCUUUUCCCCUAUCUUCAUAUGUGGAUUGUAUAAAUGUCCCAUACACCUGCAAUUAGACAAAACACAAAAGUGUGUGAAGUAUUUUUGUUCUGGAUAACAUAAAUAGAUUAUUGAAUAAUUUGCACUAGAAAUCACCUGACAAAUAUGCAUGUAUGCAAUAUUUUUGGUCGUAUCCAAGGUAGUCAUGUCCUCAUCAUCCUCCCCUUCUUGAAAAUAAAGCCGUCCUCGGCGUUGCUUAAUCUGAAAUGUGGCUAACAAAAGAGACAAGGUGUACAUGUUGUAUAUGUAUAUGUCAUCCAUUUUUACUUCCCGUGGAUUUUGCACAUAUGACACAUGUAUACAUGAGUAACUUUCAUAGUUAAUAAAAUAUAAAGCCAAAAUAUUAUUACAAGUAGAAGGCAUGAAAGUAUUGCAACUCAGUUUGCACAUAUAAGUGAAGCUCUUAUUCAUAUGAAAAGAUUGACAAUAUUCAUCAUUAAACCAUCCCAACAUUGGUGAAUAAACCUUACUUGCAUUAAAUUUACAUGCUACAACAUGCUUAAAUAAGCAAACAUGCAAUAAGUCAUUUGACACAGAAUCAUCACCAAGAUUAGAGGUCAUAUCAAAAUGAUUAAACAUUGGUUCUUUUGCAUCAACAAUUAAUUCAUUGGGUCCACUCAAAAUUGUUGGUAUUUCAGAUGUUUGAUCACAUGACGCAUUCAUGACAGUAACAUGAUUCUCUAGAUUAGGUGAUGCGCUCAAAUCAAUAGGUAACUCAACACAUGAUGUAUUCAAGUUAACUAGGCAUGCAUCAUUCUCAUGUGAAGUUAUAUCAUCAAUACCUUUACAGUUACCUUGUCGUAAAGAUGUAGCUGAUGUAGGUACGGAUGAUGGCAAUGUACCAUACUCUUGAGAUGAUGUCGCGCUCACAAUCUGAGGUGUGGCUGCUCUAGUAGGUGCGACGGUGGAGGAGCCAAGCGGUGGUGGUGAGCAUGAACUAGAAUAGUAGUUGUUGUAGUCAUCCAAUGCAUCCUCCUGUAACUGUCUCUCAAAGGUACAAGCACGAACAUACAUACCAGAUACUGAAAUCGUGCCUGAAUAUCAUGGUUCAAACCACCAAAAAAUCUAUUCAUUGUAUCAUCCUCAGAUUCUUCUAUGUCACAAUGAUGCAUAUAAGAUUUGAACUCUUGGUAGUAAGCAUGAACAGUGUCGUUGCCUUGUUUAAAUUGUUCAAAUUUGCAAAGCAAUUCACGACGAUAGUAAGGAGGGAAAAAUUAUUGUCUCAUUACCUCUUUCAAAUCUUUCCAAGUUGUGAGUUGGUUAUCAAUGUUUUUCUUACAAUGCACACUCCACCAAACAGAAGCAAAACCAGUAAAUGCUCUAGUGGCAGCUCGUACUCGCUCAAGUUCAGAAAAGUCAUGGUGACUAAAAACUUGUUCUACUUCAACCUCCCAAGCUAGAUAAAUAGCAGGAUUAAAUCUACCCUCAAAUGACGGUAAAGAGAUAACCUGACCAUGUACUUGUGUGUGUUGUCCCAACUCUUGUGAUGGUGAUGAUGUGUCCGUCGUCCAAGAACUUCUAUCUCCGGAACCUGUCAUGAUUAGUAGAAACAAGAAACAAAAUUCGAGAAUAAUGUUCUGAUGAACUACUAGGAUGUGGUUGCAAAGUGCUCACAGUAAAGAAAAUAUCAAUAUCUUGCUCGUUCUUCGAUUGCUUGCAGGAAUAUACCUUCGUGGUCAGGUUGAUCGUGCUCCGGCGAGGUCAAUAACCUCUCGAAGUUGGUUUAGCGAUUGCUAAGGUGCAACGUCGUGCACGUUUGUAGUCGGAUCGUCAAAGUCGACUCCACCAAAUCGAUAGUUAUCAUCUAAUCGAAAGAUCAGGGCACCCUCGCCUCUAUCAAGUGGUAUCAGUUUUCAGGUUGCUCGGUGAGAAUUUCCAGUUUCCCCUAGAUUAGAUUUAUUUUCUUAUCUAUUGUCCAAGAAAAAGCCACAAAAAAGUUAGAUCUAUUCAUCCUUUUGUCCAAGCCAGUCUGAGCCUUUGCAAUUUUCUUUUCAUUGUUUGCAUUAUUGAAUUAUCGGUUGCAUCGUCGUGUCGAAUUGCUGGUCUUAGGGUCUAGUUCGUUUAGAGUUUCGAGUUCUGUUCACAUUAGUCACGUCGCCGCUGCAUCGUUAUCCCUUCCGCUGUCCACCACACCAUCCAUCAAUUUCCACCACGUGCUACCCAUAGUUCAUUGUCACAAUCAUAGUUGAUGUCGUUCACAUCUUCGCUUGAUCCAAUCUGCAUCUUAUCUAGUUUGUCUUAGAGGGAGAGAAAAAAAGACAGAGAAAAAAAGAGAGAAAAAAAGAAAAAGAAGUCGGAGAAAAAAAAGAGAGAAAGAAAAAGAAAAAAAAAGUGUGAGGAAAAAAAGAGAGAAAAAACAACAAAAUUGUGUGAAGUAUCCAAUAUGCAUGCAUGCAAUAUUUUUGGUAGUAUCCAAGGUAGUCAUGACCUCAUCAACAGGACAAGACACAUUUAAUGCGUAGCUUAGGUGUCCCCUUGCUUUAUUGGGGACGGGGGCGAGGCUCGUCCCGUCCGUCGCCGCUCCUCCAUGCUUUGACACGUGCCCUGGCCAGUGAGGCACAUGGUGCCAUGUAGGCAGGCAGGCAGCUGAGGUGGCGCAGUGCCGGAGCCUUCACGAAGAUCUGCAUGCCGCCACGCAGGCGCUCGAUGAGUUGGCCUGGGAGCUGCAUGUUGUCACGCAGGUGCCCGCCCAGCUGGUUGGGCUGGCAGCUGCAUGUGAACGGCGGUGGAAGCUUGGUUGGCGUGGGCCUGGCGGUGGCCCUGCUGGCGUCCGUGGUGAGGGCCUUGCCGUGUGGCCCGGCAAGGGUCUUGCCGUGGCGCGCUAUCGUCCCCAGCGAGGGCCUUGCCGAGGGUCUGGUGGCCUUCCUCGGCAAGGAUCUUGCCGAGGAUCGUCGUCUUCUAAUUCUCAUCUGAUCUUGAAUAUGUCUUCACAAAGAUCUGCAUGCCACUACGGAGGUGCCUCCCGAGCCCUGGCCCAACGUGAUGUUGGAGAUCGUGGGCUCAAGGGUGGCCCGCUCUGUUGGUGCAGGGCGAGCUGUUCCGGCAAGGAUCUUGUCGGGGCUGCUGAGGCUGCCCCGGCAAGGGUCUUGCCGGGGGAACCUGCUUCAUCCCUCUGCUCUUUGUGGUCUUGGCCUUGACGUUGCUCUUAUUAUCUUGGGCUUUGGUCUUACCUUGGCUCACCUCCCCUGUUCUGCUUGGCGUGACCGUAGGCGCGGCUCCGACUGCCCGUGCACAGAUAUAGGGGUACAAAAACGCACCCCUUUUUUUGGACACCGACAGAAGCCCCCGGGCCUGGGCCACACAUAAGCGCGAUACGUUGUUGGGCCAGGCCCAAAACGUGCGCGGGCAGGCGGGGCGGUUUUUACCGCGGUAAAACUUUUCGCGCGUUGCGCUUCCAACGGCCCGCGCGGCGUGGAGGGGUGUGCGUGACGUGGGCGCCAUGCGUGGGACGGUUUCCACACGCAUGCGUCACAUCGCAGUAAAAAGGCGGCUCGCGCCUUCCCCGUAAAAAGAGGGAGGCGUGGAGGCGUGCUACCUCUUGAGCACUGCGUUGCUUUUCCCUUGAAGAGGAAAGGGUGAUGCAGCAAAGUAGCGUAAGUAUUUCCCUCAGUUUUUGAGAACUAAGGUAUCAAUACAGUAGGAGGCUACGCGCGAGUCCCUCGCACCUGCACAAUACAAAUAAAUCCUCGCAACCAACGCGACAAGGGGUUGUCAAUCCCUUCACGGUCACUUACGAGAGUGAGAUCUGAUAGAUAUGAUAGGGUAAUAUUUUUGGUAUUUUUAUGAUAAAGAUGCAAAGUAAAAUAAAAGCAAAGGCAAUAACAAAGUGUUGGAAGAUUAAUAUGAUGAAGAUAGACCCGGGGGUCAUAGGUUUCACUAGUGGCUUCUUUCAAAAGCAUAAGUAUUUUACGGUGGGUGAACGAAUUACUGUUGAGCAAUUGACAGAAUUGAGCAUAGUUAUGAGAAUAUCUAAGUAUGAUCAUGUAUAUAGGCAUCACGUCCGAGACAAGUAGACCGACUCCUGCCUGCAUCUACUACUAUUACUCCACUCAUCGACCGCUAUCCAGCAUGCAUCUAGAGUAUUAAGUUCAUAAGAACAGAGUAACGCCUUAAGCAAGAUGACAUGAUGUAGAGGGAUAAAUUCAUGCAAUAUGAUAAAAACCCCAUCUUGUUAUCCUCGAUGGCAACAAUACAAUACGUGCCUUGCUGCCCCUACUGUCACUGGGAAAGGACACCGCAAGAUUGAACCCAAAGCUAAGCACUUCUCCCAUUGCAAGAAAGAUCAAUCUAGUAGGCCAAACCAAACUGAUAAUUCGAAGAGACUUGCAAAGAUAACCAAUCAUACAUAAAAGAAUUCAGAGAAGAUUCAAAUAUUGUUCAUAGAUAAUCUUGAUCAUAAACCCACAAUUCAUCGGUCUCAACAAACACACCACAAAAAGAAGAUUACAUCGAAUAGAUCUCCACGAGAGAGGGGGAGAACAUUGUAUUGAGAUCCAAAAAGAGAAAAGAAGCCAUCUAGCUACUAACUAUGGACCCAAAGGUCUGAGGUAAACUAUUCACACUUCAUCGGAGAGGCUAUGGUGUUGAUGUAGAAGCCCUCCGUGAUGGAUGCCCCCUCCGGCGGAGCUCCGGAACAGGCCCCAAGAUGGGAUCUCAUGGGUACAGAAGGUUGCGGUGGUGGAAUUAGGUUUUUGGCUCCGUAUCUGAUCGUUUGGGGUACGUAGGUAUAUAUAGGAGGAAGAAGUACGUCGGUGGAGCAACGUGGGGCCCACGAAGGUGGAGGGCGCGCCCUGGGGUGGGGGGGUGGGCGCGCCCCCUACCUCGUGGCCUCCUGGAAGCUUCUCUGACGUAAGGUCCAAGUCUCCUGGAUCAUGUUCGUUCCAAAAAUCACGCUCCCGAAGGUUUCAUUCCGUUUGGACUCCGUUUGAUAUUUUUUUCCCGCGAAACUAUGAAAUAGGCAAAAAAAAAUAGCAAUUCUGGGCUGGGCCUCCGGUUAAUAGGUUAGUCCCAAAAAUAAUAUAAAAAUGGAUGAUAAAGCCCAAUAUUGUCCAAAACAGUAGAUAAUAUAGCAUGGAGCAAUCAAAAAUUAUAGAUACGUUGGAGACGUAUCAAGGCGCGACUCAUUUAUUGAACGGGGCCAGGGCGCGGUCUUCAAGGCAUCCACUCCCCACGAUCACGGGGUGGGGAGAGGUUGCUUCGCCCGUCCCCUCGGUUCUGCAUGUAUGCCACGCGUCCUCCAUGCACCUAGGGUGGCAAGCGGUGGAGGCGGGAAACCGGGCCGUCGCUGGUUGGGGCAGCGGGUCGGUCCUGAUUCCCCGUGGCUUUGGUGGCUGGAUUGGCCGAGUGAGGCGGCCGAGCCCCGUCCCCGCCUCCUUAUAAAGAGGGGGAAGGGGGGAUGGCAUCCCACACUCUUCCGUCAUCUAUCUCCACUCGCUUCUACUUCUUCCUUUCACUCGCCAUGGAGAAAGGGAAUCAUGGUCCCUCAACGGUGGCGGCGAGGGUCGCCGCCCGACAGCACGUCCCUCCUCCUCCUGAGCCCGCGGUGGUGGAACCGGCCGCGUGGGGAAGGGGGAGGGGGCGAGGUCGUCGGCGAGGCCGGGGCAGAGGUCGUAGUGCUCGGGGAAGAGGAGGACGGGGCGGCGCACCGGCUUCACCCCCGCCAAUGAUGCCUUUUCCAAUGGAAGGCCAUGUUGGAGACCAGCCCCGUGAAUUUUUCAUCAGGCUGCGCUGGCCUUCGCGUCGCCGUCUUCGUCUUCCCGCCCCGUUCGCUCGGGAGAUGGAGUGUGACCCGCCCCAGUCCCUCAGAUUGCACAUGAGGGGUUGUGGGAAUGGGGGCACGCGGGUCGACGUCGACUUCCCGGCUCCCCGGGUCAUGUACCUCCGUCAUGGGUGGAAGACGUUCGCUCGCAUCCACAGCCUAACGGCGGGGCUCGUCCUCUACUUCAAAUUAAUGGAGGACGACCUGCUCUCCGUCAAGGUCUUCGGCGACUUCGGGACUCGCCUGAAGUGCUGCGUGGAGAGCUCCUCCGAUGGAGAUUCCGACGAUGGAAGCUCUACCUCGAGCGAAAGUGAUGAGGAGGACAACGGGGCAGACGGCGGGGACGAGUCCGACUAGGCGUCGGACGCCUGGUGCCUGGGCGGGUGCGGCAGCAGCAACAUCUGCACUUGGCCGCUCCUCCGGCAGAGUUUUGCCGGGGGUGGGGCCAGCUCCUUGAACUUCUCGGGGCCGUCUCCUUGGGCGGCUGGCGUCGAGAGGCUGCGGAAGAGGAAGAGGGCGGGCGGCAACGCCGUUAACUCGGAGUACGCGGGCACCGACGCCUUCGUGGCGUACUGCCGGUCCUGCCGCCUCGUCUUCCAGCUCCUUUCCCGGCACCGUCAUCACCGGCCCGCCCCUGGGCGGUCACCAAGGUGUUCUCUUGGUGCUUUCUGCCGCUCGUAGCUCGCCUAGGCGCCCCUUUUGCCCUUUCGCCUCAUUGACCUGCCUCCUGAGGAGAGGGACAAGAAAGGGAUUACGGGCAUCUUAUCCUUCUUCUUUAGUUUGUAAGCCUGCGGGCCUUUGUUAAAUUUAGAACUUGUAAUCCCCUUGCUCAUGUUUUUCAUUUCGUACGAACUGUACCUGUAUGGGAUGUUUUUAAUGAAAAAGGGAUGCUUGCCGGGUUUUUCGUUCGUGGGUAAACCCCGCGACAAGGAGCGAAUCCUUGUUAUUGUUUAAGAUAAACGUUUUUCGCCCGGCAACAGGCCUUGCCGCCCCCCACUCCACUCGACCGUUCUCGCGCUCUUGGCGGAGGCAGGGAUGAAGUGGGCUUUAGGCUCCUCGUUCUACCUCCUUGCCGCCGCGGCUACAACCAAAUCCGGACCUAGGAAAUAAUCCUUAGGUAUAGGAAAAAGGGGAGCACGACAGCCUAGAGAUAAAAACGAGGUUUCACAUGCCCCAGUCCUGUUCUGAAAUGCAUGACAGAGGAUAAAAGACUUAUCUGGAUCUGCAGCCCCCAGCAAUCUCAUCUUGCCGCGGUUGGAACCUUGUGCUUGCAGCCCCCGGCAACUCUGGUUUACCGGGGUCGGGACGCCGGUCCGUUUUCUUUCUUCCAAGUAGCUCGACAGAAGUGCUCAUGUGCCCUGCGAACCAAAGGAGGACGGAAGAGAAACAGAUAGACGCGCAUUCGACCUCUAAGCUAGGGGUUAGUCGCUGCUGAGCACUAUCAACCCUAACCAAGGAAGAGACUCGACCUAGCAUGCAUGCUAUGACUGAGGGCGCCAGCGCUUCAUUUAUUUAUGCUCAGGGUCUGUGCCUGGCUUUGUACGAAGGGUUACAUGCCUUGCCGGCAAAGCUUGUACAAAAGGUGGCUUGCCGGGAGGCCCAGCAAGCCGCGCCUUAUGGGUAAAACUUGCGAAGAUGCUCGAUGUUCCAGGAGUUCCUCACUGGGAUGGCAUCUUCGGUCUCCAGGUGGACUGCGCCGGGCCUGGUGACUCGUAUUACCCGAUAAGGGCCUUCCCACUUCGGCGUCAACUUGUUGGCAUUCUCGGCCGACUGAACGCGCCGAAAAACAAGGUCGCCUUCCUCAAAGCUUCGGGCAUGAACCUUGCGGCUAUGGUAGCAGCGCAAGGCUUGCUGGUAGCGCGCUGCUCUCACAGCCGCCCGAAGACGAUCUUCCUCAAGGAGCGUCGCAUCAUCUUGGCGCAACUGCUCUUGCUCAAGCUCAUCAUAAGCGAGCACUCGAGGUGACCCGUAUAUGAGUUCCGUGGGGAGAACUACUUCUGCCCCGUAGACCAGGGCAAAAGUUGUCUGGCUGGUGGCUCGAUUUGGCGUCGUCCUGAUCGACCAAAUAACCGCCGGCAAUUCAUCAAUCCAGCGCCUUCCGCUCUUGCGCAGCUUGUCAAAAGUCUUUGUCCUUAGGCCUCGCAACACUUCAGCAUUCGCCCUCUCCGCUUGGCCGUUGCUCCGUGGGUGUGCCACGGAAGCAAAACAGACCUUGCUGCCGAGGUCUUGAAUGUAUUGCAUGAAGGUGUGGCUCGUGAACUGCGUGCCGUUGUCGGUGAUGACUCUAUUUGGCACACCAAAACGGCAGACCAGUCCUUUAAAAACUUGACAGCUGACUGAGCAGUCACCUUUCUCACUGCUUCCACCUCCGGCCACUUUGUGAACUUGUCGAUUGUAACGUACAAGUAUUCAAAGCCCCCGACAGCGCGGGGGAAAGGGCCCAGUAUGUCGAGCCCCCAGACCGAGAAUGGCCAGGAGAGAGGGAUUGUUUGAAGGGCUUGGGCUGGUUGAUGAAGCUUCUUUGAAUGAAACUGACACGCUUCUGUAACGCCCCGGAUCCGAUGCGCCAGGUGUCACACAGUUAUUCGCUGUCGUUGCCAUGUCAUUUGCUUGCGUGUUGCAUUUUGCCAUGUCAUCAUAUGCAUUUCAUAUCAUGUCAUCAUGUGCUUCGCAUUUGCAUACGUGUUCGUCUCAUGCAUCCGAGCAUUUUCCCCGUUGUCCGUUUUGCAAUCCGGCACUCCUAUGUCACCCGGCGCCCCCUUUUGUCUUCUUCUCGUGUGCGGAUGUUAAACAUUUUCGGAAUGGACCGAGUCUUUUCAAGUGGCCUUGGUAUACCACCGGUAGACCACCGGUCAAGUUUCGUUCCAUUUGGAGGUCGUUUGGUACUCCAACGGUUAACCGGGUAACCGCAAAGUCCGUUUUGGUAUUGCAGCAAACCCCCCUUUCAAACAGCCACAAAACCCCUCUAAGUCCCUGUCAUGCUCUCGGUCGUUCGAUCACGAUCGCGUGGGCGAAAACCGCACCCCGUUUGGACUCUCCUAACUCCCUCUACCUAUAUAAACACCCCCUCCCCGAAAUUUCGGAUCAAUUCCACCCUAACCCUAAUAUUUUUCCCUCCGCGCCGCCGGACGUUUCGUCCUCCGCAGCCGGACAUGUCCAUUUCGCCGCCGCCGCCGCCCGCGGCCAAUCGGCACGCGCCACCUGUCCNNNNNNNNNNNNNNNNNNNNNNNNNNNNNNNNNNNNNNNNNNNNNNNNNNNNNNNNNNNNNNNNNNNNNNNNNNNNNNNNNNNNNNNNNNNNNNNNNNNNNNNNNNNNNNNNNNNNNNNNNNNNNNNNNNNNNNNNNNNNNNNNNNNNNNNNNNNNNNNNNNNNNNNNNNNNNNNNNNNNNNNNNNNNNNNNNNNNNNNNNNNNNNNNNNNNNNNNNNNNNNNNNNNNNNNNNNNNNNNNNNNNNNNNNNNNNNNNNNNNNNNNNNNNNNNNNNNNNNNNNNNNNNNNNNNNNNNNNNNNNNNNNNNNNNNNNNNNNNNNNNNNNNNNNNNNNNNNNNNNNNNNNNNNNNNNNNNNNNNNNNNNNNNNNNNNNNNNNNNNNNNNNNNNNNNNNNNNNNNNNNNNNNNNNNNNNNNNNNNNNNNNNNNNNNNNNNNNNNNNNNNNNNNNNNNNNNNNNNNNNNNNNNNNNNNNNNNNNNNNNNNNNNNNNNNNNNNNNNNNNNNNNNNNNNNNNNNNNNNNNNNNCGACCCCGCCGCCGGCGCCCGCGCUGCCGCCGGCCAUCGCCCCGCCGUCGCCUGGCCUGGCCUCCCCUCCACUCCGGCCGCCGCCGAUCGACUCCGGCGAGCCGGCGCCCGAUCCAGAACGAGCCCGCGUUGACUUCGUUCCCCCCCUCGAGGUCGUUAUUUUUCUAAGUCCCCAGUUCUUAUUAAUAUGUGCACAUGUUCAACUGUGUGUAACUUCAUGCAUGUAGCUCCGAUUCGCGCGUAUAAUAUGUCGAAUUGUUCGUCCCGUGAUGCUCUACAUUUUGUUCAAUUGCACCAUGUUCAUUAGAGGUCAUCUUGAUGCCUUAAUCAUCGUUGCAAGAGGGCUAGUUGCUGUUAUCUGCUGAUUCUUAUCAGAACUUGGAGAUUUGUCAUUUUUGUAUCAUUUAAUCUGUGCAUCUUUUGGGCAUGACCUCUACAUGUGUUUUGAAGUAUGCCAUGCCAUCUUUCCAGUGGUGUAGUCCAUGUAUUUGUGUGAUCUCUGUGGUGACUAGCACAAGCACGCAAAGUAGGCCCCGUAAUAUUUCUGAUUUCAGGGACUUAGUGAUUUCUCUAAGUCCUUGUCUGCUGUAAUUUUGUUGCCUUGUUAACUUGAUGCUACAGAGAGAUCCAUGCAUAUUUUGGAGAUGUUCAGUAAGGAUGUUUUGUAGAUAUUGUUAUAAUUGAUCCAUUACUGCCCUUGUUUGCAAUUAUGGUGUGCCAUAGCAUGUCUCAAUCUUGCUCUACUUUUGCUAUAAAAUAUUUCUGGCAGAUUCUUAACAUGAUAUGCAAUCUUGCCAAGCUUAUUGUAAUUGAUCCAUACAUGCUAUGAUUAUACUCUUGCCAUGGUUAGCUUCAUAAACAUGCCAUCUUGCUGUAGAUAUACUUAGGUUAUCAUUCAUUGCUCUGUAGUGAGUGCAUCAAGCUCACAAAGAGGCCUACAUAUUAUAGUUUCUGCCAUGCUCUGUUUUUUGCCAAGUCUGAAACCAGAUAACGAAACUUGCUAUGUUCACAUGCUUGCCAUCAUAUCUUCUGGUCCUUUUUCGCUUAUGGUCAGUAAGGGACUUUUGUUAUAUGCUUUGAGUAGAUUCAUGCCAUGCCUUUCUUUGCUAUGUUAAGUCCCUGUAGCAUGUUGAUUUCGUGCUCUGAACAUUGCUACCUGAUGCUGUUUCUGUCAUGUCCAGUAAUUCUGCCAAGUCUGUGAACCUGUUAUUAUUUGCAAUCUUGCCAUGUCCUUUUGAGCAUUUUCUAUUGAUUUCUGGAGAUAGCUCAGUGUUCAUGUUUUGUUGUGCUUUACCUGUACAUCAUGUCCUUGUCUUUUGUUUUCAUGUUGAGUUGCUGUAGCAUAUUGUUUUGAUGCUUGCCAUAUGCCUAGUUGCUGUUUUGGACAGAUUGUUGCUAUGUCUUGUUUGGAGUGUAUGUGUUGCACCGUUGCUCCGUUUUGAGCAUGCUCUAUAUGAAACUUGCUUAGUUUUGCAUGUAGUCUCAUAUUAUCAUGUUGCAUCCUUGUGUUGAGGUGUGUGCUUGAUGUUUGUAUGCAUUUUGCACCAAUGCCAUGCUCAUCUUGUCUUGCUCAUAUCUUCUAGGCCGUAGCUCCGAAUCUAAUGAACUUUAUAUGUAACUUGACUAGAAUUUCGUGUAGAUCAUCAUGGUGCUCUUUAACUUGCUGUUUAACAACUUUAACUUAAUGCUUGUUCAGUUCUGGACCAAUUUUGAAAUUUGCAUAUGAGGACUUACCGGAAUUGUUAUGUGUUGUUUCCGGCCUCAUUUAAACUUGCCUUGAUGUGUUGCUCUUGUAUGCAUCCUUUCUUGCCGUGUGUAGCCUCAUAUUGCCUUGUCAUGCAUCAUUCUUGAUUGAGCAUCAUGCCUUGUUCAUGUGUGGUGUGUUUACCUUGUUGUGUGUUUCUUCUCGAUAGCUCCUGUGUCGUUGCGAUCGUGAGGAUUCGUUCGUCUUCGUGGCUUCAUCUUCUUCAUGGAUUCGUUCUUCUUCCUAGCGGGAUUUCAGGCAAGAUGACCGUCACCUUGGAUCUCAUUACUAUCAUUGCUAUGCUAGUUGCUUCGCUCUAUCGCUUUGUUGCGCUACCUAUUCACUUGUUCCUCAAGCCUCCCAUUUUGCCAUGAACCUCUAACCUUUGUCACCCUUCCUAGCAAACCAUUGUUUGGCUAUGUUACCGCUUUGCUCAGCCCCUCUUAUAGCGUUGCUAGCUGCAGGUGAAGAUGAAGAUUGCUCCAUGUUGGAUUAUGUUUAUGUUGGGAUAUCACAAUAUCUCUUAUAUUAUUAAUGCAUCUAUAUAUUUGGUAAAGGGUGGAAGGCUCGGCCUUAUGCCUGGUGUUUUGUUCCACUCUUGCUGCCCUAGUUUCCGUCAUACCGGUGUUAUGUUCCCGGAUUUUGCGUUCCUUACACGGUUGGGUGAUUUAUGGGACCCCCUUGACAGUUCGCCUUGAAUAAAACUCUUCCAGCAAGGCCCAACCUUGGUUUUACCAUUUGUCCAGCCUAUUUCUUUUCCCUAGGGAGUCGCUCUCUCGAGGGUCAUCUUAUUUUAACCCCCCCGGGCCAGUGCUUCUCUAAGUGUUGGUCGAACUGAGUAGACUGCGGGGCCACCUCGUGGAAACUCGAGGUCUGGUUUUACUCGUAGGAUGUCUCAUCCGAUGUUGCCCUGAGAACGAGAUAUGUGCAGCUCCUAUCGGGAUGUCGGCGCAUCGGGCGGCUUUGCUGGUUUUGUUUUACCAUUGUUGAAAUGUCUUGUAACCGGGAUUCCGAGACUGAUCGGGUCUUCCCGGGAGAAGGAAUAUCCUUCGUUGACCGUGAGAGCUUAUCAUGGGCUAAGUUGGGACACCCCUGCAGGGUAUUAUCUUUCGAAAGCCGUGCCCGCGGUUAUGUGGCAGAUGGGAAUUUGAUAAUAUCCGGUUGUAGAGAACCUGACACUUGACCUUAAUUAAAACGCAUCAACCGCGUGUGUAGCCGUGAUGGUCUCUUCUCGGCGGAGUCCGGGAAGUGAACACGGUUUCUGGGUUAUGUUUGACGUAAGUAGGAGUUCAGGAUCACCUCUUGAUCAUUGCUAGUUUCACGACCGUUCCUUUGCUUUCUCUUCUCGCUCUUAUUUGCGUAAGAUAGCCACCAUACAUUGCUUAGUCGCUGCUGCAACCUCACCACCUUAUCCUUUCCUUUCCCUUUAAGCUUUGCUAGUCUUGAUACCCAUAAUAAUGGGAUUGCUGAGUCCUCGUGGCUCACAGUUUACUACACCACCAGUUGCAGGUACAGGUUGUGCGAUGAUCAUGACGCGAGAGCGAUGUGUACUUGUUUUGGAGUUCUUCUUCUGCUUCUUCUUCGCUCAGGGGAUAGGUUCCAGGUCGGCAGCCUGGGCUAGCAGGGUGGAUGUCGUUUGAGUCUCUGUUUAUGUUUCAUCCGUAGUCGGAUGUUGAGCUUAUGUAUGAUGUAUUGAUGUAUCCUUGCGGCAUUUGUAUGCCUUGUAUGUAUCCCCAUAUAUUUUGUAAUGUCGAUGUAAUGAUAUCCACCUUGCAAAAGCGUUUCAAUAUGCGGGUCUAUCCUUGGUGGGACCUUCGAGUUCCUGUAGGAUAGGGUCGCAUAUUGGGCGUGACAGCUUCACACUUGGUUACUAGUGCCGUCGCAUCCUGGAGGGCGGUGGGCCAGAAAAAACCUUGUCGGAACGCCUUCCCGGCAAGGGCCCUUGACCCUAUGUGGGAGCCACAUAUGCCUCCAUGUAUCUCCGCCAACAGCUCCAGUCCUUCUAACUGGGGGAUGCACUUCAAUUUCAUGCCAUUCGGCCUUCUCCUGUACAGGACAUCAUCGACGAACUGGUACAGGGCGGACCGACGGGCUACUUUCUCCGCUUCUUCCUGCUCCUCAGGAAGCUCCCCUGUUUGGAGGAAUCGAACGGUAUGCUGCGCCCAUGCCGGAGCCCGGGCUCGACGACAAGGACCAAAGGCAUUUCUUCCGCCAUGGGAGCGGCUGUCUCUACGGCUAGGGCUUGACGCCCUGCCGGAGGUAGCUACUCUUGGGCAGGCUCGGCGUCCGUGGCGGCACCCUUGCCGGCAGCCCCAGAGGGUUCGGUAGGAAAGUACUUGCCGGGACCCGACUUCCUUCGCUUGUUCUGCCCCGUUGAUGGUUUGACGGAUGGUUGAGUUAGCUGGAGCAAAAAGGUACCUGGUUCCACAGGUAGCUUGAAUGCGGCACACUUUGACAGGUAAUCGGCGGUGUCGUUCUCCAUUCGGGGGACGUGCUCCGCUAGGAUACCGUCAAAGCGCUCCUCCAGCUUCCUCACUUCAUCUACGUAGGCUUCCAUCAAUGGGCUUUGGUAAUCCUUAUUGACCUGCCUGACAACAAGCUGCGAGUCACCCCUGACGAUGAGCUUCUUAACCCCGAGGUCUGCCGCGAUCCUGAGACCGGCAAGCAAUCCCUCGUACUCAGCAGUGUUGUUGGUGGACAUCUCUCGGGGAAAGUGCAUCUGGAUCACGUACUUGAGGUGCUCCCCGGUAGGUGCGACGAGUAGCACACCGGCAUCGGCGCCUUGCAGCGAGAAAGCCCCAUCAAAGUACAUGAUCCAGUCGCGAUCUUCCUCCUUGCCGGGGAGUGUGGUCUCCUGGAUUUCUUCGUCAGGUGUUGAGGUCCAUUCUGCAAUGAACUCCGCCAAGACUCUGCUCUGAAUUGUCGAGGUACUUUCAAACUUCAAACCGAAACUUGACAACUCUAAGGCCCACUCCACAAUCCUCCCGGUUGCAUCCGGGUUAUGCAGUAUCCGUUGCAAAGGGAGGCGGGUGACGACAGUGAUCUCGUGGGCUUGGAAGUAAUGACGCAGCUUCCUCGAGGCCAUAAGAAGGCCGAAGAGCAAUUUCUGCACACCGGAGUACCUCGAUCUAGCCCCCUGCAAGAGGGAGCUGACAAAGUAAACCGGGUGCUGCAUCAUCUUCUUCUUCUGCACCACCCCACUUGACUGCGCGGGCACUGCCUCGGUGGCAUCAGACUCUGCCGGGGGCCUCGCCUUGCCGGCACCAGGCCCUGCCGGGGGAAUCUUGGGCUUGCCAUCCGCUGGUUCUGCCGCCGUCACUGCCUCCUCGUUGACCUCCCUCUGUGCCACUAGCGCGGUGCUGACCACUUGAUUUGUCGCCGCCAGAUACAGCAGCAACGGCUCUUGUGGUUUAGGCGCAACCAGUAUUGGCGUGGAGGAAAGGUAUUUCUUCAGAUCCUGCAAUGCUUCCUCGGCUUCUGGGGUCCAUUCCAUUGGGCCUGCCUUCUUCAAGAUUUUGAAGAAAGGAAGGGCGCGCUCGGCGGACUUGGAGAUGAAUCGGCUCAUGGCGGCAACGUAGCCGGUGAGCCGACGCACAUCCUUGAUCCGCUUGGGCGCCUCAAUCUGCUCAAUAGCCUUGAUUUUGUCUGGGUUUGCCUCGAUUCCGCGCUGCGAUACAAAGAACCCGAGAAGCUUGCCGGAUGGAACGCUGAAGACACACUUCUCAGGGUUCAGCUUGAGGUUGAUCUUGCGCAGGUUGGCAAAUGUCUCUUCCAGAUCUUCCACAAGAGUUGGCCCGUCCUUGGUUUUGACUACUAUGUCAUCCAUGUAGGCCUCCAUAUUUCUAUGGAGCUGAGGUUCAAAACCAAUUUGGACUGCUCUUGCAAAUGUUGAGCCAGCGCUCUUCAACCGAAAGGCAUCCGUAAAAAGCAAUACGUACCACAUGGGGUGAUGAACGCUGUCUUUUCUUCAUCCUCUCUUGUCAUGAAGAUAUGGUGGUAGCCCGAGUAGGCGUCGAGGAAUGACAACAGAUCACACCCGGCCGUGGAGUCAACAAUCUGGUCGAUGCGCGGCAACGGGAAGGGGUCCUUAGGACAAGCCUUAUUGAUAUCUGUGUAAUCAAUACACAACCUCCACUUCCCAUUCGCCUUGCGCACCACUACCGGAUUGGCCAACCACAUCGGGUGGAGCACUCCCCUCACCAAACCUGCCGCUUCCAACUUCCUGAUCUCCUCCGUGAUGAACUCCUGCCUCUCCAGAGCCUGCUUUCUGACCUUCUGCUGGAUGGGCCGCGCAUGGGGGCUGACAACUAGGUGGUGCUCAAUCACCUCCCUGGGAACAACGGGGAUGUCGGAUGCUUUCCAUGCAAACACGUCGACAUUCGACCGCAGGAAGGUGACGAGCGCGCCUUCCUAUUUGCUACCGAGGGUGGAGCCUAUGGUGAAGGCCCCUCCCGUGCCAUCCUCCCUGGUGGACACCUUCUUGGUUUGCGGCGGCUCGGCUCUAGAUCUCUUGCUCUUGUCGGUAGAGCUCUCUGGCACGGCCUCGACGGCAGCACAACACUCCGAAGAGGUGCGCUUGCCGGAGUGGGUGCGAGAGGUCUUGCCGGGCUUCUUCCUCCCUCCCGGGGCUUCAGCGGCAGGAGCAGGUGCCUUGGCGGCAGCUGCUGCAACUGCCUCCCGGUAGAGUUGGUCGGCGCAAAUCAGCGCGUCCUUCUUGUCGGAGGGGACGGAGAUGAUGGUCAACGGCCCGAGCAUCUUUAGCAUGUUGUAGGCGUAGUGUGACGCCGCCAUAAACUUGGCUAGUGCCGGGCGGCCGAGGAUCCCGCUGUAGGGCAAGGGGAUCUCGGCCACGUCGAAGACGAUCCUCUCCGUCCUGUAGUUCAACUCUCCUCCAAAUGUCACGGGCAGUGUGACCUUUCCCUUCGGCUGGCUCCUCCCCGGAUUGACCCCUUGAAACGUGCCCGUUUCCUCGAGGUCUCCAUCAGGGAUUUGCAACCUUUUGAUCACGACAGGCGAGAUCAGGUUUAGGCCGGCCCCGCCGUCAACCAACAUCUUGUUCACCCUGAAGUUGCGUAUUGUUGGUGAGACCAACAAUGGCAAACACCCGACCGCGGUAGUGCGGUCAGGGUGGUCUUCGGCGUCAAAGAUGAGGGGCGUGCUGGACCACUUCAGCGGCUUCUGAGCGUCGAACGACGGCUCUUCUGCUGUAAUCUCACGCGCCCACUGCUUGAGCUAGCGGUGAGAGGUAUGCAGCGAGGCGCCGCCAUCGACGCACAUGGCCUCCGUAGCCUUCUGGAACCCUUGCUCACCAGACUCGUCGUCCUUGUCGUGAUCAUCGUCUUCUUGUUUCUUGUCGCGGCCCCGGGCGGGCCUCUCUUGCUGGUUGUCCUUGCCGGGGUAGCCUCCUUGGCCGCCACGCUUCUUGCCGGAUCCCUCAGCACCGUCCUGGUCCUUCUCCUUGUCCCGCCUCUCGUACUCAGCCUUUUGCUUCUUAGGAAGCAGCUCGACUUGUCGGCAGUUCUGGAGGUCGUGGCCCUUGGUGCGGUGGAUCUUGCAGUAUUGCUUGCCGGAGCUCCCUGGCUUGUCGGUAGCUGCCAAGGCCCGGCAGGCGGCGCACCAGGCAAUCUCCUUGUCGGGAGCGCCUGCCUUGACCUUCUUGCCGGCACCGGUGUCGCCAGAUCCCUCAACGGCAAGCACGGCCUUACCCUUGCGUUUCCUGUUGUGACGCCGGCCCUUCUUCGUCGGGGUAGCGGCGUCCUCAUCGGUAGAGUCGGUUUCCGCGCCGGCGUCUUCGCCGGGGUACUUCCUUCCCUCUUCAGCCCGGGCGCAUCUAUCGGCCAGAACGUAGAGCUCGGCCACAUCCUUAAUCUUGGUCAUCGCCAGCUCCUCGCGCAUCUUGCGAUUGCGCACGUUCUGGUGGAAUGCGCUAAUCACAGCGGCAGGAUGAACGUCGGGGAUGUUGUACUGCACCCGGCUGAAUCUCUGGAUGUACUUGCGCAGGGUCUCCCCUUCCUUCUGGGGAAUGAUAUGCAGAUCACUGGCCUGGCCAUGAGCUUGGUGGCCUCCUGUGAAGGCGCCAACGAACUCAUGGCAUAGAUCCGACCAAGAAGAAAUGGAAUCCACCGGCAAGUGCAUCAACCAAGACAUCACAUUGGGCUUGAGCGCCAGCGGGAAAUAGUUGGCAAGCACCUUGUCGUUGCGAGCCCCAGCCUGCAUCGCGAUGGUGUAGAUGCUGAGGAACUCAGACGGAUGGGUCUUGCCAGUGUACUUCUCGCCGACGUCGGGCUUGAACGUGCGGUGGGACGACCACUGGAACUGCUGCAGCUCACGGGUAAAGGCCGGGCAGCCCACCUCGUAAGGUAGGCCGCCGGAGCCCCCCGGUGCCGGGUGGUCCAUAGCGGGUCCCGCCCGCUUGUCCGACUGGCGGCGCGUUUCGCGCCGGCGCUCGACGGUGGUUCGAGCGUCUUUGUGAGCUCGUUCCCGAAGGACCUGGCGCUGGUCGCGGAGGGUCCGCGGGUCGGAUGACACUAUGGAGAUGUUAUCACAAGCGUCGUCACGACGGGCUGAUGCCCGCGGCGGCUGGCGAGGAGGAGGAGAGUGCACCGUGGGCGCAACUCCCCCGGUCCUCCCAGCGCCAGCAUGCGGUGGCUCGGUGGAGCGCCGACCCGAGGGUCCCGCCGGUCGUGGAUUGUCUUUAUUGGCGACGGCGAUGAGGCUUCGGGUGGUGGCCCUCCACUCGUCAAGCUUCUCCGCAGCAGGAGGGAAGUCGAGGAGUAGCUGUGCGCGCGCCAAAGCUUCUGCCGGCGUGGGCGGCGGCGACAGCUACGUGGAUCGCGGCGCGCUUCGACUUCUAACUACGUUAGAAGGAGCUCCGUUACAACCCAGCGGCUACGUGCCAUUUUCGCCAGCGCUUCGGCGGGCGUGCUGAACCCCUUCAUCCUGCGGACGACGCACUGGGCUCUUCCCACGGUGGUGCCCAGGGUCACCAACGCGGUGACGCUGCUCGACACGCACACCAUGGAAGAGCGCACAGUGGUCGCCGGUGUGGGCGUCCUGGAGGUCGCUGCGCCGCCCGGAGGUGGCACAACGACACCCCUGGAGGGCCCGCGCCGCCUACGGGGGGCCCAGCUCCGUCUUUGGAUCCGGCGACGUGUAGCCGGUCGUCUGGUGCGCGAACGACGUCGCUCGCCAGGCUCUGACUACCAGGGCGUUGCUGGUGCUCGCGGACCGCGACCCGGGUCCUGUCUGUGACCGGUCCACUGCCCGCCCGCACCGGCACGGGCCGUUCGGCUCCCAACGAGCCGACCGCCGUGGCUGUCUUCUUCUUAGGAGCCAUGGCGACGAAGAACUACUAGGCUAACUACUAGACCAGAUUCUCACAAUUGCGCCCCCUACCUGGCGCGCCAAAGAUGUCGGUGUGGAACGACACCUACGGGAUCACAAGAAUCCCUACUACGGUUGCCGGGGUGCGGGGUUGCAAGAAGAGCAGGGCUAGUAGACAACACAAAGAUCGUUUACCCAGGUUCGGGCCGCGAGGAUGGGUAAAACCCUAGUCCUGCUUUGGUGGGUGUAUUUUCAGAGAGUUCUUGAGCUCUCGAACAAGCUGUGGUCAGUGCGUGGUUCAAAAGAGCCGAAUCCUUCUCCAGUAUGCCAUGGGCCUCCUUUUAUAGUCGAAAGGGGUUGCCACAGUGGCACACAGGAGGUGGAAAGGCGUACAGUGCCCUGAGCUUAUCGCUCGUAUUACAGGACAAGAUGCAUUUAAUGCGUAGCUUAGGUGUCCCCUUGCUUUAUUGGGGAUGGGGGCGAGGCCCGUCCCGUCCGUCGCCGCUCCUCCUCGCUUUGACACGCGCCCUGGCCAGUGAGGCGCGUGGUGCCAUGUAAGCAGGCAGGCAGGCAGCAGAGGUGGCGCAGUGGCGGAGCCUUCACGAAGAUAUGCAUGCCGCCACGUAGGCGCUUGAUGAGUUGGCCUAGGAGCUGCAUGUUGCCACGCAGGUGCCCGCCCAGCUGGUUGGGCUGGCAGCUGCAUGUGAACAGCGGUGGAAGCUUGGUUGGCGUGGGCCUAGCGGUGGCCCUGCUGGCGUCCGUGGUGAGGGCCUUGCCGGGUGGCCCGGCAAGGGUCUUGCUGUGGCGCGCUGUCAUCCCCGGCGAGGGCCUUGCCGGGGGUCUGGUGACCUUCCUCGGCAGGGAUCUUGCCGAGGAUCGUCGUCUUCUAAUCCUCAUCUGAUUUUGAAUAUGUCUUCACAAAGAUCUGCAUGCCACCACGGAGGUGCCUCCCGAGCCCUGGCCCAACGUGAUGUUGGAGACCAUGGGCUCAAGGGUGGCCCGCUCUGUUGGUGCGAGGCGAGCUGUCCCGGCAAGGAUCUUGCCGGGGCUGCUGAGGCUGCCCCAGCAAGGGUCUUGCCGGGGAACAUGCUUCGUCCCUCUGCUUUUUGUGGUCUUGGCCUUGGCGUUGCUCUUAUUAUCUUGGACUUUGGUCUUACCUUGGCUCACCUCCCCUGUUCUGCUUGGCGUGACCGUAGGCGCGUCUCCGACUGCCCGUGCACAUGUAUAGGGGUACAAAAACGCACCCUUUUUUUUGUACACCGACAUAUAUCUAUCCAUUCUUGCUACGACUUGUUGAAUAUUCGAAUGAUAAUCAUAAAAGAGAAUGUUGACUAGUGAAUUGUUUAUUUUGCAGAAAAGUGCGCAAAGGCACUAUAAUCGUCAAGAUUUCUACUAUGUGGCUAACGAGAAGAGACAAGGGUAUGAAAGAAAUACGUCAAGGCCUGAGCGUGAAGGAAAGAAGUAAUGUAGGGGAGCAAACUAAAAGAAGAGGAGGAUCUUCUUGGGCAUAAAUGAAGAGAAGAGGAGGGCCAAUGUGCAAAUGUGGCAGAUCAGAGAGGGGAAUGAAAUCCCUAGCGGCACCUCAUUGCAAAUCGGGCCUGGCCACAUCUCCAUCUCUCUCCCCCUCACCACUUCUUCCACCACCGGCCGCCGCCGCGGCCAGGCCGGCGUGGCGGCGCGCCACCAACACCACCGCGCCAUAGCACCACCCAUAAUCUCCAUCCAUCUGCGCCUCCCGGCCACCCAUCAUUCCCUCCAUCCACAGCGCCGCCAGAACCCAUCCAUCAUCACCUCCAGCCGGCGCCGCCGCCUCGCCUACAGCCAUCUCCCUGCUGUCCGCUGCUCUCCUCUUCUUUCCAACCUUCUUCUCCUCACCAUGCUGCUGCUCCUCCCUCUCAAUCUCUACUGCUGCUCUUCCUUGCCCCCCCACCCCCCCGUGCUGCUGCCUCUCCUUCCCUUCGUUGCUUGCUGCUUCUCCUUUGAUCCCUUUGCUACUGCUCCUCUUCUUCGUGCCCAACCUCCGCUGCUGCUCCUCUUUCCUGCUGCUACUCCCUCUCACCACGCCUCUGCUGCUCUCUUUCCCCUCCUGCUGCUGCUCUCCUCACCAUGCUGCUUCUCCUCUUGCUGCUGCUGCCCGCCCCCGACCUCCUCCUGCUAUCUCUCUCUACUUCCCCUGCUACCUUUCUUCUCUGAACCUACCUACUGCUUCUCUCUCUCUCUGAAAUUGCUGUAGUACUAAGAUUUGUAAGACAGUGUACUACAACCUGUUAAUUGUUCAGUUCAGAUUUUUGCUUGUUUAGUAUUAUUCUGUUGAUCUGUGCUAAUCUUGUGGCUAGUAUAAUUUCGUUUCUGUUGUUACUUGUGUAACCUGAACCGUGGUUAGUAUCCUAUUUGCAUAUGUGUGUUUUGUAGUCCCUGUAUUAGUUACGUACCUGUGAUAUAUAAAUGUGUGUGUGCGUGUGUGUGUGUAAUUCAUCAAAAUAUAUUGUUGUGUGAUGAUGAUAUAUGUUCAGUCUAGAGACACGUUAUUUUUCUUGCUUUGUAGAUCGAUGUGAACUAGUACCCUUGUGUGUUUCUGUUGUCACUAGUUAAAUUGAUCACCUAUGUACUACUUGUUGUAGAAACUUGUUACAUUAGUCCUUGUGCUAGCUAUGCACCUGUGAUAAAUAUGUGUGUGAUGUGAAACAUUUCUGUUCUGUCCUAUAAUAUUGUUUCCUCCCUCUUUUGCUUGUCAUUAUGCUAUAUGUGUUCAUGUCCUAAUGUUUCCCUUUAUGUUAGUUUCUAAUUUCUCAUGCCUAAUAAAAAUACCAAAAGACAGCAAGUAAGAUCUGAUCCUCCCUUUGCUAUUUUGCCUUUUCUUUGUGGAUCAUCUUUGGGAGCAACCUUGUUUAGUUUAGGUUUAUUUUCUUGCAGCCAUAAUCUCAAUUGUGUUACCUAGAUUUAGCUGAGCAUAGUCGCCGUCGCCUAGUCCCUGCGGGGAACACGACACUCGCGAUUUGGGCGAAAUAUCCCACCACAUUUACAAACGAUCAGCGAGGCUCAUCGUCGUCCUUGCUAGGCGGCCCUUUCCCCUUGUGCUCGGUGUUUAGCUUACCGACCUGUUUGAAGACCCAACAAUUUUUGCUGGUAUGAUUGGCAGGCUUGUCAGGGGUGCCAUGGAUCUGGCAAGGCCGAUCGAGUAUUCUGUCCAAACUGGAUGAACCAUCUUUGUUUCCUUUGAAUGGCUUCUUUCGUUGACCGGGUUUAGAGCCACUGAAUCCAGCGUUGACCGCCGUAUCUUCGGUAUCUUCAUU